GACACGUGGUAUCCUGUCUGAAUAUGGGGGGACCAUCCUCCAAGGCUAAAUACUCCUGACUGACCGAUAGUGAACCAGUACCGUGAGGGAAAGGCGAAAAGAACCCCGGCGAGGGGAGUGAAAAAGAACCUGAAACCGUGUACGUACAAGCAGUGGGAGCACAGGUUUACCUGUGUGACUGCGUACCUUUUGUAUAAUGGGUCAGCGACUUAUAUUCUGUAGCAAGGUUAACCGUAUAGGGGAGCCGYAGGGAAACCGAGUCUUAACCGGGCGUUAAGUUGCAGGGUAUAGACCCGAAACCCGGUGAUCUAGCCAUGGGCAGGUUGAAGGUUGGGUAACACUAACUGGAGGACCGAACCGACUAAUGUUGAAAAAUUAGCGGAUGACCUGUGGCUGGGGGUGAAAGGCCAAUCAAACCGGGAGAUAGCUGGUUCUCCCCGAAAGCUAUUUAGGUAGCGCCUCGUGAAYUCAUCUCCGGGGGUAGAGCACUGUUUCGGCUAGGGGGCCAUCCCGGCUU
rnacentral:rRNA from 1 species